rnacentral:rRNA from 1 species
ACUCCUACGGGAGGCAGCAGUGGGGAAUCUUAGACAAUGGGCGCAAGCCUGAUCUAGCCAUGCCGCGUGAGUGAUGAAGGCCCUAGGGUCGUAAAGCUCUUUCGCCUGUGAAGAUAAUGACUGUAGCAGGUAAAGAAAACCCCGGCUAACUCCGUGCCAGCAGCCGCGGUAAUACGGAGGGGGUUAGCGUUGUUCGGAAUUACUGGGCGUAAAGCGCGCGUAGGCGGAUUAGUCAGUCAGAGGUGAAAUCCCAGGGCUCAACCCUGGAACUGCCUUUGAUACUGCUAGUCUUUGAGUUCGAGAGAGGUGAGUGGAAUUCCGAGUGUAGAGUGAAAUUCGUAGAUAUUCGGAGGAACACCAGUGGCGAAGGCGGCUCACUGGCUCGAUACUGACGCUGAGGUGCGAAAGUGUGGGGAGCAAACAGGAUUAGAUACCCUGGUAGCUACGAGU